CAGUCGCCGCGGUAAUACGUAGGGUGCGAGCGUUAAUCGGAAUUACUGGGCGUAAAGCGUGCGCAGGCGGUUGUGUAAGACAGGUGUGAAAUCCCCGGGCUUAACCUGGGAACUGCGCUUGUGACUGCACAGCUAGAGUAUGGCAGAGGGGGGUGGAAUUCCACGUGUAGCAGUGAAAUGCGUAGAGAUGUGGAGGAACACCGAUGGCGGGGGCAGCCCCCUGGGCCAAUACUGACGCUCAUGCACGAAAGCGUGGGGAGCAAACAGGAUUAGAUACCCCUGUAGUCCCUGUCUCUUAUAC
rnacentral:rRNA from 1 species